rnacentral:rRNA from 1 species
CCUACGGGUGGCAGCAGUGGGGAAUAUUGCACAAUGGGGGAAACCCUGAUGCAGCGACGCCGCGUGAGUGAAGAAGUAAUUCGUUAUGUAAAGCUCUAUCAGCAGGGAAGAAACUGACGGUACCUGAGUAAGAAGCCCCGGCUAACUACGUGCCAGCAGCCGCGGUAAUACGGAGGGGGCAAGCGUUAUCCGGAUUUAUUGGGUGUAAAGGGAGCGUAGACGGCAGUGCAAGUCUGGAGUGAAAGGCGGGGGCUCAACCCCCGUUCUGCUCUGGAAACUGGACGGCUGGAGUGCAGGAGAGGUAAGUGGAAUUCCUAGUGUAGCGGUGAAAUGCGUAGAUAUUAGGAGGAACAUCAGUGGCGAAGGCGGUUUACUGGACUGUAAUUGACGUUGAGGCUCGAAAGCCUGGGGAGCAAACGGGAUUAGAUACCCGGGUAGUC